rnacentral:rRNA from 1 species
CUACGGGUCGCAGCAGGCGAGAAAACUUUGCAAUGUGCGAAAGCACGACAAGGUUAAUCCGAGUGGUUUGUGCUAAACGAACCUCUUGACAGUCCUAGAAACACUGUUGAAUAAGGGGUGGGCAAGUUCUGGUGUCAGCCGCCGCGGUAAAACCAGCACCUCAAGUGGUCAGGAUGAUUAUUGGGCCUAAAGCAUCCGUAGCCGGCUCUGUAAGUUUUCGGUUAAAUCUGUACGCUCAACGUACAGGCUGCCGGGAAUACUGCAGAGCUAGGGAGUGGGAGAGGUAGACGGUACUCGGUAGGAAGGGGUAAAAUCCUUUGAUCUAUUGAUGACCACCUGUGGCGAAGGCGGUCUACCAGAACACGUCCGACGGUGAGGGAUGAAAGCUGGGGGAGCAAACCGGAUUAGAUACCCGAGUAGUC